UCCCUGGAGGACUAGUGGUUAGGGCACGGUGCUCUCAUCGCCAUGACCCGCGUUCGAUCCCCGGCCAGGGAA
rnacentral:tRNA from 1 species